rnacentral:rRNA from 1 species
UGGGGAAUAUUGCACAAUGGGCGCAAGCCUGAUGCAGCCAUGCCGCGUGUGUGAAGAAGGCCUUCGGGUUGUAAAGCACUUUCAGCGGGGAGGAAGGCGUUAAGGUUAAUAACCUUGGCGAUUGACGUUACCGACAGAAGAAGCACCGGCUAACUCCGUGCCAGCAGCCGCGGUAAUACGGAGGGUGCAAGCGUUAAUCGGAAUUACUGGGCGUAAAGCGCACGCAGGCGGUUGAUUGAGUCAGAUGUGAAAUCCCCGGGCUUAACCCGGGAAUUGCAUCUGAUACUGGUCAGCUAGAGUCUUGUAGAGGGGGGUAGAAUUCCAUGUGUAGCGGUGAAAUGCGUAGAGAUCUGGAGGAAUACCGGUGGCGAAGGCGGCCCCCUGGACGAAGACUGACGCUCAGGUGCGAAAGCGUGGGGAGCAAACAGG